UAAAUUAACGCCCUAAAGACCAAAAGACUGAAAAAGCUUCCAGCCGCAAUUCUCAAAAGAUCCCACCCACCCCCCUCGGUCGUCUUCUCCACCAAACGCUGCUGCUUCUUCAACAGGGUCGUCCUUAUCAUCAAAACGAGCCCCUGUUCUUCGGCACACAAGAAAUCAGAAAAGGACCCCUCAUCUCAACACCAUCUUCUUCAAAAAUAACCCCCAUCUCUCUUGACAAAGCAACAGCCAACCCCAUAAGAGAACCUUGACAAAAUCCUCUAGCAAAUCAGUCCCAAACCAGCCCAUCAAAUGAGCCGAAGACCAGUUCAAAAUACUCAAAAGAUGUAGCGAAAAACAGUACAAAACAGUUCUAAAAUCAGCUCGAAAAGCAGUCCAUAACCACCCAAAAACGAGUCGAAAUACUACACCGAAAUCCAAUCGAGUUGCCGGUAAAAUUUUAGGUGACAAUGGUCGUCCAUUGGAGUCAUGGUUCAAGAGGAACAUUAGCGGGUUUUGGUUCGAGGUUGUCAAGCUUCAGUCAAGUUGUUCGUCUGCAGCCUAGUUCAAUUUUGAAUUGUGAAGCUGUUGAACAAUUGAAAGUUCAGAUUCAUAUUUUAGUUGCAGAAAAAGACGGAGGCUUUGGAAUACCUCAAGGGCGACAUCGACCGCAUCAGAACUGCCUGUGGUGAGCUAAGGGCUCAGGUGCAAGCUCAAGCUUUAAAGGAGACAUGCGCCUCAGCCAAGGUCCUCGCCUUCGAAGUCCAACUCCCCUUGGCUUGUGAUAAUGUCAAAUUUCAAGCGGAUAUGAUCGGGAAACUCGAAUCUGACCUCUUGAAGAUGAGGGCUGAGAUAAUUGAUGCCCGAGCUGAAGCGGCACUAAGCCAAACCAAGGCUGAUCAGGAGAUGGUGAUUUGAAUGAAAGACGUUGCGGACGCUCAAGCCGAGCUGAAGCGAGCCCUCGACCGGGAGAAGAGGAUUGAUGAAUAUGUUUGUUGCAGAUCCCGAAGAGAAGUACUCGAGGAGAUCGGUGCGGGGUGCUUUGUUCUCCUAGAGGAAUUGGCUCGAGCAAGGGUGGACGAGCGUGACGCGUGGUCACUUCUUGCUGAUGAGGCGAAGAGUGAACCCAGCAAGUUGUAGCCCUUUGGAGCGGAGUGUAGAUUUCGCCGUUUUGUCGCUUUGUAUUUGAUAAAUGUAGAGCAUGCCUGUAGAUGUAGAGUAUGCCCUUUUUUUUUUCUUUGCGUAUGUAAGAUAAGAGGAAACUUGAAGCUUUAUUUAUCCCGCAUCUCUUUUAUGUUA